rnacentral:lncRNA from 1 species
AUGCCUCGGGAAAGAGAAGAUGUGUGUCAUUUUGUGUUGCAAAGGGAGCCAGGAAAGGUGCUUGCCCAGACUGUGAAGGCCACAGAUGGAGCACUGCUGACCUCCCAGGGAUUCACUGAUCUCAAGCCAAGAAAGUCCCCGGAACAGCUUUCUUCUGGAAGGUCAAGAGUGAUCUCCUUUUGGCCAUUUAACAAAAGGUGGAGUCAGAUUGAGAUUUCUGAGGCCUUGAACGUUCAGUCUUCUCCUUUCUCCAGCCUAUCUGCCUUUCAUUUUCACAUUAUGCAAGAGAUGAGAUCCUCAAAUAAAAAUAUUCAUUGUGGGAGAAUAUUACUUAAUAGUCAGAAGUGGAUACUCUGCCAAACAUGGCCAGUAUCCCAUCAGAAAUAUCAGGAUGCUCGCAAGUAAGUAUAUAACCAAAGUAUAUAACCAAAUCAUAACCAGAUCAGAACUGGAGGCAGGAGAGAAGCAGGGUCAGGGCAGUAAAGUGGAGGAGGAAGUCAUAAAAUUCCCCUGUAUUAUCUGCACCCAAUUCCUAAUGCCUCUGAAUCACAGUGUGCAGAAAUAGCUCACAAUCAUCUGCAAGAAGUCAUCACAUUUGUAACCAUUGUCCCUUUUACCCAAGAAUUUGCAUGGUUCAACUAUUAGUGGUGCAAUAUCUUGAUCCAUACACAAAUUAUACCUCAACUAUGUAGGGUGUAAUUCCUCUAAUCCAAUUUAGCUGUUGAACAAUUGCUUGAAUGUAACUGGGGAGAAAAUCUAAUGCAACAAACCAGACCUUUAUCCACUAAGGGAGAUGAAAAAUCAUCAUUGCUUCAGUAUGAAUAUAUCUAAUUCAACCACAAAUUGCUAGGCUGAGAAGAGUCCACUGAGCAGCCAGGAAGGCUAAUUUCUCCCUUGCAGGAAUUAUCAUAUUAAACUCCCUGACCUGGGUUACACAGGAGCUCAGAUUAGAUUAUCACUGUCCCAAAUUCUGGUCUCAGAAGCCAGUUUUUAGUGCCAAUCUGGCUGAAAUCCCAGGUAAACAUCAUGAAAGAAAUGCGGGCGUGUGGUUAGCAUAUCUCAUUUCUGUGUGCUGUGGUGGAUGAGCCAGCUGGCUGCUGUCGGUAAGAAGGCAGCAGAACUUCCUGAAAAUGGGAAAAUCUUCACCAGAUGUCGAGAAGCUGCUUAUGGCCAGUGUUGGUCAGCAUGGGCCCCCCAACAUGGUGCAUGUUAUCAGGCUGGCAGCUCUUGCUGCUCAGGUGGGGUUCUCAACUGUCCCAAGUUUGCUUAAAUAGGUUUGAGAAAUAGUUUCAAACUAAAAGAGGAGAGGUUUCAUUGGAUAUAUGGAAAAAGUUUUUAUGAUAAGCGAGGCACUGGAAGGCCCAGAGAUACAGUGGCUGCCCCAUUCUUGGAGACACUCAAGGCC